rnacentral:lncRNA from 1 species
CGGAAGGAUGAGAAAAGACACGAGGGUUCAGAAGCGAGUGGUUUUGGCUCUGGAAUACCGAAAGAAUCUGCAGAAUCACAGAAGUCAUGGAAGAGUCAGGCAACAGAAUCUAAGGACGAGAAACAAAGACAGACAUCUGAAUCAAAUACCGUAGAGAGUAUUAUGGAUGGAAAUGCAUGGGUGCUGUGCAAUGCAACUGCAGGAACUGACUAUAUACCAUGCCUAGACAACGAAGAAGCUAUAAUGAAACUAAGGAGUAGAAGACAUUUUGAGCACAGAGAGAGACAUUGCCCAGAAGAUCCACCAACGUGUCUAGUCCCCCUCCCAGAAGGGUAUAAGGAGUCCAUCAAGUGGCCUGAAAGCAGAGACAAGGUAAAAUAUUCUAUCCAAAAAAAAGUUUUCUUCAGGUGAAAUAAUGUGAAAUUGGAUAGAAGUUGACUCACAUGUGAUCUAGUAGAUAUGGUAUCACAAUGUCCCACACACAAAGCUAGCUGAGGUAAAAGGACAUCAGAACUGGGUGAAAGUCACUGGC